AAAUUCAUAAAACGAAAUAAUCUUGCUCGCCUUUUAAGAUUCACAUCGAAAUCAAUCAAAAAAUUCCGAUUUUCCUACACCAUUUCUGAGUUAAAACUUUUUACAUGAUCUUCAACAGUACGUAAAACAUCACUAUUAUAGCCGCCUAAGUACAACAUGAAACCAAUACCCAAGCAAACCCACUUGAUACCAAACCCCUCAUUUGUUUAUAAAAACUAGACACCCCUCAUUCUCAAUAGAGUUCAAUUAUACUUACAUCACACCCAGCUGCACAUAAAGCUCUACCAUAGCAAUAUUAACAGUCCCUUUGUACAAACAUAAAACUCAAACUCAUUUAAAUUAACUUGCCAAAGUUUACAUUUAGCUAUAACUACAAACCAGAAUUUAAACUAAAUAGAAAAGACCAAUAUUAACAAAACAAACAAGCUCAUUGGAGAGGCUAAUCCUUUUUAAAAGAUAUACGAGGCAAAAUUAACUAACUAAUAUGACAUAGAUUGCACAUUCAUUCACAUAACUUCACAUUCUUCUAUUUCUCAUGUCAAAAAGUUAAACAAUACCUAUAUACAACAACAAAAAAAAACGAAAAUGAGCUGGGAGCACAGUAAGCAGCAACAAUAAUAAGCUCGAAUAAAAAUGAAAGCCACAGCAGGAUCAACUUGCAAAUCAGCAAGCAAAACAGACUUCAAACCCAGAACAUUGUAUGGUAGCCCAUAAUAACCAGUUCAAAUGAUUGUCAACCCAAAAGAAACUUAGAACAGAUUUACAUGCUCAAUCCGAAAUCAUUUCAACCCCAAAGCAAAGCAGAAACGCCUUCAGAGAAUGAAAAUUUAAGAUCCUAAUGAAAAAAAUUCAACAGAACAGUGCUUCACUCAAGUUCUUUACCACUUUUUUUGUAUUUUUCUGAUUUUUUCUAAUCACUUCUCUAUGAAUCAGUAAAUUUUGGAUAGUUUUCUAUAUUUUCAGUUUUCAGCUCCUCUUUUUGAUUUUCAUAAUCUCCUCCGUCCUUGAGAAUGAAAAGUAAGAGGCCUUUAUAUAGGCAUGCCUAAGGCAAUCCUAGCCUAAUUAGACAAUUCCCUCUUUACCCCUCAUUUUUUGGCUGUUUUACCCAUCUAACCCACUCAAAAGAAUUUGAAAACAGACUCACGUUUUUUUACCUCUCCUAGAACCCUUUCUCCUAACAGAAUUUGAUUCUUUCAUAUUCUAAAAUCCCAAAACUGACCCUCGGCCAAUGGCUUAUUACACCCAGCCUGACCCUUAAGCCCCUUAAGUUUCCUUUAUUUAACUAAAACCCCUAGAAACUCUUAAUUAUUUACAAACUAUACCAAACAAAUUUCUUGAAGAAAUAAUAGGCAAAUCGAAUCAAUAACUCCUAGAACAUAAGAUGUGAAAUGAAAAUCAUAACGACCAACAUUAGAUCUCUUAAUCGCUAAAUGAAUUUAUUCGAAAUUCAAACAUGGAAUCACUAAUCAUCAAUAAUUGAACACAAGAAAAAUAAAACCAAAGCUAAUGGCCAAAAACUAGAAAUACUGACUCUUUUCAUUCUUAAAUCAAAACAGAAACAAACAAGAAGAAAGAUGAAUAAGCAAGGCAGGUGAUGGGACUAAAAGGAAACAAGGAAGCCGGAUAUUACCUACACUGACUGGAUGUGGAUUUGGAAAGAUCUUGAAUAACCUUUCAAUUUUUGAUAGGAAGAGACCCUAACAGUGUGUUUUUAUACAAAACACACGAUUAUCAUCUAUCACGAUCUCAAAUUUUCAAACGGGCCGAUGAUUUGGAUUUUUUGGGUUUAGGGUUCCAACUUCAAAUUAAAAUUCGAAGCGUUCUGGGGGAAUUCGAGGCUAAUGGAGUGUGGUUAGAGGUUGCGUUGCCGAGCUUCCAAGCGGUGGGAAUGGGGUAGCUAGGGUUUCGGCGUCUCUAAAGCGGGGUGCUGAGAGAAACGAGUUGGGGGGGUCAUGUUCAGACUGUUAAAUAUUAAA
rnacentral:lncRNA from 1 species